GAUGAACGCUGGCGGCGUGCUUAAUACAUGCAAGUCGAACGGAAAGGCCCUGCUUUUGUUGGGUUCUCGUGUGGCGAACGGGUGAGUAACACGUGAAUAACCUGCCCUUGACUUUGGGAUAACUUUAGGAAACUGCGGCUAAUACCGGAGAGGAGAUCCUGCUGCACGGUGGGGGUUGGAAAGUGUCGGCGGUUGUGGCUGGACUCGAGGCUAAUCAGCUUGUUGGUGAGGUAGUGGCUGACCAAGGCUUUGACGGGUAGGCGGCAUGAGAGGUUAGACAGCCACCAUGGUACUGAGAGAGGGCCCAGUCUCCUACGGGAGGCAGUAGUGGGAAAUCUUGCAGAGCGGGGGGAAGCCUGUUGCGGCAGCGCUGCGUGCGGGAAGCCCGCCUUCGGGGUGUGAACAGCUUUGGCCGGUGCCGAGGCGUGAGUGACGGUAAUGGGUAAGGAAGCACCGGCUAACUACGUG
rnacentral:rRNA from 1 species